rnacentral:rRNA from 1 species
UGGGGAAUUUUGGACAAUGGGCGAAAGCCUGAUCCAGCAAUGCCGCGUGUGUGAAGAAGGCCUUCGGGUUGUAAAGCACUUUUGUCCGGAAAGAAAUCCUCUGGGUUAAUACCUCGGGGGGAUGACGGUACCGGAAGAAUAAGCACCGGCUAACUACGUGCCAGCAGCCGCGGUAAUACGUAGGGUGCAAGCGUUAAUCGGAAUUACUGGGCGUAAAGCGUGCGCAGGCGGUUUUGUAAGACGGAUGUGAAAUCCCCGGGCUUAACCUGGGAACUGCAUUCGUGACUGCAAGGCUAGAGUAUGGCAGAGGGGGGUAGAGUUCCACGUGUAGCAGUGAAAUGCGUAGAGAUGUGGAGGAAUACCGAUGGCGAAGGCAGCCCCCUGGGCCAAUACUGACGCUCAUGCACGAAAGCGUGGGGAGCAAACAGGAUUAGAUACCCUGGUAGUCCACGCCCUAAACGAUGUCAACUAGUUGUUGGGGAUUCAUUUCCUUAGUAACGUAGCUAACGCGUGAAGUUGACCGCCUGGGGAGUACGGUCGCAAGAUUAAAACUCAAAUGAAUUGACGGGGUCAUAGCUGUUUCCU